rnacentral:rRNA from 1 species
UACGUAGGGAGCAAGCGUUGUCCGGAAUCAUUGGGCGUAAAGCGCGCGUAGGUGGCUUCGUAAGUCCGUAGUGAAAGUCAAGGGCUCAACCUUUGAAAGCCGAUGGAUACUGCGGAGCUAGAGUACGGAAGAGGGAAGCGGAAUUUCCGGUGUAGCGGUGAAAUGCGUAGAUAUCGGAAGGAACACCAGUGGCGAAAGCGGCUUCCUGGUCCAGCACCGACGUUCAGGCACGAAAGCGUGGGGAGCAAACAGG